AAAUUGAAGAGUUUGAUCAUGGCUCAGGUUGAACGCUGGCGGCAGGCCUAACACAUGCAAGUCGAACGGUAACAGGAAGCAGCUUGCUGCUUCGCUGACGAGUGGCGGACGGGUGAGUAAUGUCUGGGAAACUGCCUGAUGGAGGGGGAUAACUACUGGAAACGGUAGCUAAUACCGCAUAACGUCGCAAGACCAAAGGGGGGGACCUUCGGGCCUCUUGCCAUCGGAUGUGCCCAGAUGGGAUUAGCUUGUUGGUGGGGUAACGGCUCACCAAGGCGACGAUCCCUAGCUGGUCUGAGAGGAUGACCAGCCACACUGGAACUGAGACACGGUCCAGACUCCUACGGGAGGCAGCAGUGGGGAAUAUUGCACAAUGGGCGCAAGCCUGAUGCAGCCAUGCCGCGUGUAUGAAGAAGGCCUUCGGGUUGUAAAGUACUUUCAGCGGGGAGGAAGGGAGUAAAGUUAAUACCUUU
rnacentral:rRNA from 1 species